AUACUAAUCUGGCAGAGGAGACACCGUGAUCACAGAGGUGUUUUCCCAGGGCCAGAUUUAUCCACUGCACUCCAGAUGUGCUGACCCCUGUGAUUUCCCCAAAUAUGGGGAACUCAAUGGCAUCAUUAGUGGUAGGUAGUGGGGAACUCAUUUGCACUCUUC